rnacentral:rRNA from 1 species
UACGGAGGGUGCAAGCGUUGUUCGGAUUUACUGGGCGUAAAGCGCGCGCAGGUGGGUGAACAAGUCGGAAGUGAAAUCCCAGGGCUCAACCCUGGGGCUGCUCCCGAAACUGUACGCCUAGGGACUGGUAGAGGCUGGUAGAAUUCCCGGUGUAGCGGUGAAAUGCGCAGAUAUCAGGAGGAACACCGGUGGCGAAGGCGGGUCUCUGGGCAGUAACUGACGCUGAGGAACGAAAGCGUGGGUAGCGAACAGG